rnacentral:rRNA from 1 species
GAGUUUGAUCAUGGCCAGGAUGAACGCUGGCGGCGUGGCUAAGGCAUGCAAGUCGAACGGAGAAUUUAUUUCCGCAAGGAUAUGAAUUCUUAGUGGCAAACGGGUGAGUAACACAUUGGUAACCUACCUUGAAGUUCGGAAUAACUCGGCGAAAGCCGAGCUAAUACCGGAUGUGGUCGCGGAUCAUAAGGUCUGCGAGUAAAGCCCAAAAGGCGCUUCGAGAGGGGCCUAUGUUCUAUCAGCUAGUUGGUGAGGUAAAAGCUCACCAAGGCUAUGACGGAUACCGGGUGUGAGAGCAUGACCCGGCUCACUGGGACUGAGACCCUGCCCAGACACCUACGGGUGGCUGCAGUCGCGAAUAUUCCCCAAUGGACGAAAGUCUGAGGGAGCGACGCCGCGUGCGGGAUGAAGGGCUUCGGCUUGUAAACCGCUUUUCUUAGGGAGGAAGCUUCGGCUGACGGUACCUAGGGAAUAAGAGGUUGCGGACUCUGUGCCAGCAGCGCGGCAC